rnacentral:rRNA from 1 species
CACGUAGGGGGCGAGCGUUGUCCGGAUUUAUUGGGCGUAAAGAGCUCGUAGGCGGCUCGGUAAGUCAGGUGUGAAACCUCCAGGCUCAACCUGGAGACGCCACCUGAUACUGCCGUGGCUAGAGUCCGGUAGAGGAGCGUAGAAUUCCUGGUGUAGCGGUGAAAUGCGCAGAUAUCAGGAGGAAUACCAGCGGCGAAGGCGGCGCUCUGGGCCGGUACUGACGCUGAGGAGCGAAAGCGUGGGGAGCAAA